GCAGGUGUAGCCAAGUGGUUAAGGCACUGGUUUGUGGUACCGGCAUGCGCGAGUUCGAAUCUCGUCAUCUGCCCCA
rnacentral:tRNA from 1 species